CAAUUGGUUAUUAUGUCUCCACUAAUGAGCAGAGAGGGGUAAAACCUUCAAAGUAAGUUUUGUGGAUCAAGGUAUAGUGAUUAAUUGGAGUUCUAGUUCGUUUACUUUGAGAAAAUUAGAGUGUUUAAAGCAGCCUCUUGGGGCACUGAAUACAUUAGCAUGGGAUAAUAAAAUAGGAUCUUCACAAUAUAUUUUAUUGGUUUAAAUUGGAUAUGAAGAUAAUGAUUAAUAGGGACAGUUGGGGGUAUUCAUAUUGGGUGGUUAGCGGUGAAAUGCUCGGAUCCAUUCAAGAUGAACUAAAGGCGAAAGCAUUUACCAAGGAUGUUUUCAUUAAUCAAGAACGAAAGUUAAGGGAUCGAAGACGAUUAGAUACCGUCGUAGUCUUAACUAUAAACUAUGCCGACCAGGGG
rnacentral:rRNA from 1 species